rnacentral:lncRNA from 1 species
UUGCUGAUGCUCAAAUCUAUGGUUCCAGAUUUCUUUUCUAGGGUUUCUAUCUCCAGUGUUGCCUCACUUUGAGUUUUCUUUAUUGUUUCUACUUCCCUUUUUAGGUUUAGUAUGGUUUUGUUCAUUUCCAUCACCUGUUUGUAUGUUUUUUCCUCUUUUUCUGUAAGGACUUCUACCUGUUUGAUUGUGUUUUCCUGUUUUUCUUUAAGGACUUGUAACUCUUUAGCAGUGUUCUCCUGUAUUUCUUUAAGUGAUUUAUUAAAGUCCUUCUUGAUGUCCUCUACCAUCAUCAUGAGAUAUGCUUUUAAAUCUAGGUCUAGGUUUUCGGGUGUGUUGGGGUGCCCUGGACUGGGCGAAGUGGGAGUGCUGGGUUCUGAUGAUGGUGAGUGGUCUUGGUUCCUGUUAGUAGGAUUCCUACGUUUACCUUUCGCCAUCUGGUAAUCUCUGGAGUUAGUAGUUAUAGUUGACUCUGUUUAGAGAUUGUUCUUCUGGUGAUUCUGUUACCGUCUCUCAGCAGACCUGGGAGACAGAUUCUCUCCUCUGAGUUUCAGUGCUCAGAGCACUCUCUGCUGGCAAGCUCUCUUACAGGGAAGGUGCGCAGAUAUCUUGUUUUUGGACCUCUUCCUGGUCGAAGAAGAAGGCCCAAAACAGGGCCUCUCUCAGAAGCUGUGUUGCUUUGGCAGUUCCCAGAAGCUGUCAGCUUCUGUGGUGCAGACUCUCACCUGUGCAGACUAAAAUCCUAAGUUCCAGGGAGUCCUGGAAACAAGAUGGUGACCGCUGCUCCUGAGGCUGAGGCCGUCUCCCAAGCCAGGCUGACACCUGUCCUCUGGUCCGGAUGGUGGCCGGUUGUCUGCGGCCCGCCCAGGCUGCUGCCUCAGCGGCUCUGUGCUUCUGCCAGUCCCAGAAGCUGUCCGGUUCUCUGGCGCACCCGCUAACCUGUUCAGACUAAUCUCCUAAGUUCUGCUGAGUCCCUGUUUGUCUUUUCAUAGAUUUCUUUAAUGGAUUAAUUCAUUUCUUCAUUAUGGACCCCUAACAUAUUCAUAAAGAUUAUUUUGAAAUCCUUGUCUCGUACUUCCGCUAUCUUUGCCUUUCUCAGUUCCUGCUGUGAUAGGGUUGCAGGGCUUUAAUGGAGACAUGUUGUCCUGGCUUCUUUGAUUGUAUUUUUACACUGGUGGCUAGGCAUCUGAGUUUGUGGUGAUUGUAAUUCUAGAUGCUAAAAUCUGGUCUUGUCUUUGUUGGGUGGUUGUUUUGUUCCCUUAGUUUCUGUUGCCUUUUGGGGUGCUUAGGAGCAUGUGGUGCCAGUGGGUCAUCUGGUGGGAAAUGCUUCUUAGAUCCUGCUAGGUAUGGCUUCUGGAUGCUCUGGGUUGAGUGAUUGUCUUGGUAUUGGGAGCUGACACUUAGGGAUGGAGACAAGGUAGAAGGAGUCUACAGGAUGGAAGACAGGAGGGUGUACCACCAGGAUCUGCUUAGUUCCCUGAGAAUGAGAACAGAGAAGGAGUGGGAGCCACAGCAGGUGGUUUGCUCCAGAGGAGCAAUGAGGGUCAGCGUAUUUACUAAGGCAGAUCCAAGGCUACAUCUAAAGUCAUAAUGCUGGAUUUGUGACGUCACUCUCAAUUGUUUCCAGAUGGUUUCUCAGGCUGAUCAAAAAGAAGAUGAGGCCAGUGAAUGUGAGUGGGAAAGUAGAUCUUCAAACAGAAAGAGGGCUCAGGAAUAAAAAGUAUAAUAAUAAUAAUAACAUGAAGAUCACAAAACAACCGUAGGUAAAGUAAAUUGCCUUUUCCCUCUGUCUCAAAACAGGGUCUUUGAUCAAUUGUUCCAGUGUAUAAAAAUUUGAACUCUAAAGAAGCCAGGCAGGCUUCUAAAACCCACACAUCAAAAGCUUUGCUUCCGUUAGAGAAAUUUAAAGCCAUGAUACUCUGAAUGGGUUUGAAAUUCUCUAAAAUGAGUUCUAAUAACACCCUUCGCAGACAGAAAGGGAGAACAGCCAGUUACAUGGCUUCAUGCUACCAUUUUCUCUGGUACAUUAGUUUUCCAAAGAUGCCAUUUUGGCUUGUACCAAAUAAGAGGGCAAAGGUUACCAAAUGGAAGCCCGGGGAAGCCAGAAACCAGAACAGCCCUCACAAUGGAAAGGGAAUCCAAACUGUCAGCUCUGAAUAGAGAGAAAUUGUAUGUGUGAAAUUGACAACCAGCAGCGGUCUGGCACCAUCAGAGAGGCCAGGAAAUUAACUCAACCGGGUUCCUACUUACUGGAUUAGAGCUGGGGUUCUGUCGAGAUGUACUCAAGAUUCACACCUAGACAUCUCUAGCCCCUGGAUCACACUGGCAAUGUCAGGUUUUAGUUGGAAGGCAUUCUAAACAAAUAAAGUAUCAGUGAACAAUUUUUAAUGAUACAGAAAAAACAAGAAGAAAUACAAACUACCUCUUAAGAACUGUUAACAAUGGAUGCAUCUGUCUUUUCAUGCACAUUGCUUUACCAGCUGGAAGCCAAUUUGUGUAUAUAAUUGUUUUUUGUGUUUUUGUGUUUUAGCUUACUUAGUACUAUAUAAGUUUUUUGGUUGAGGGAGACAAAAAUCACAGUCAACAAUCAGGGUGCAAGUAGAUGAAGUUAGUCAGAGCUUGAUGGCUGGCUCCUUCUCUACAGAAAUAGCAGAGAGAAAGGGACAAUACAAAAAAAAUGGUGGACACUGCAUCUGGGACAGACUGUGGCAUACAUUCAUCAUGACAUACAUUGUUUUAUCACAACAGAAAAGAAACAAAAUGAACACAGACCCCAGGAAUGGACUUGCUGAGAAAGGAAUCACAAAGCAAUUCAUUCUCAAUAGGCUCAAAGAGAAGAAGUGUGUGUGUGCGUGUGUGUGUGUGUGUGUGUGUGUGUGUGUGUGUGUGUGUGUGUGUGUUUUAAAACUAGCCCAAGGGGGUGGGGGAAAUUUCUACUAUGAAGAUUGCAAAACACAGAAGAAAUUAAAAAAGACAUUAGAAGACAUACUUUUCAUACUUGUAGAGAAUUAAUAUUGUUACAAGAGCAUACUAGCAAAAGUAAUGUACAGAUUCAGAGCGAUUCCCAUAGAAGUUCUAAUAACAUUCUUCACAGAAAUGGGGAAACAAAUCCUAAAUUCAUAUGAAACCCCAAAAGGCCCCGAGUAGCCAAGGCCAUCCCAAGUCAAAAGAAAAUGUCAGAUAUCCACAGUACCUAUUUUACGUCUCACAUGUACCUCUCCUACGUGGCAGGUGUGAUGCUCUCAGAAGAGUAACAUCUGGAACCUAUUGAACAAGCAGAAUCAUCUCAGUGCCCAGGUCCUGCCACUCUCGGGGGUGUGGUAACGAACCUCGAGAUCCUCUGAACUUCUCCACAUGUGAAUGUCACAGGUUGCCUGUUUGGCAGCUAUGGCUGACCAAUCCUCACUGGUCAUCAAGACAUCCUUCUUACAUGGGCUUGGUGUCUGAUGUUUACAGGUUCACCAGGGAACUUAGCCGAUGGGAAGAAAGCUGUGGCUGUCAAAAUAAUAAGCAAACUACAUUGUAUAGCUACCAAGAGGAAAAGAGUCCGUUUUCUAUUAUUUUGCAGAGGGUUUUUUCAUGACCUAUUGUGAAUGACUAAGGAUGGCUUUCUUAUGGGAGCCACUCCAAAGCUGAGUCCAAUGCUGGUCUCACAGCAUGUGAAUUCAUGGAAUUAUGAGCAGCAAACAGCUGAUAAUGGAACAAGAAGGGGAAGAAACAAUAAGCAAAGGAGGCAAACAUUAAUGCAGCAGCAGACGCAUUUGCUGAAGCCGAGGGAUUAAAAGCCACUUCCCUUCUCCCUUGGCCACCAUUGUGCUAGCAAAAAAGAGCGUCCUGCCUCAGUUUCUAGGAUGAAGCAAUUCAUUCUGCAAAGAGCUCCUCCAUCCUGCCCCGUCUGACUUUACAAUGCUGGAUAUCAUCGUUUUAAAAUACAAUGUAUUUUAAGUUUAGAUCUUUCAAGGCAGAUUCAACUUCACUCCUUUUCCCUUAAAAAAAUAAACUGUUUGCAGAUGGCAAGGCGAAAG